rnacentral:rRNA from 1 species
CUCAGGAUGAACGCUGGCGGCGUGCCUAAUACAUGCAAGUCGAGCGAAUGGAUUGAGAGCUUGCUCUCAAGAAGUUAGCGGCGGACGGGUGAGUAACACGUGGGUAACCUGCCCAUAAGACUGGGAUAACUCCGGGAAACCGGGGCUAAUACCGGAUAACAUUUUGAACUGCAUGGUUCGAAAUUGAAAGGCGGCUUCGGCUGUCACUUAUGGAUGGACCCGCGUCGCAUUAGCUAGUUGGUGAGGUAACGGCUCACCAAGGCAACGAUGCGUAGCCGACCUGAGAGGGUGAUCGGCCACACUGGGACUGAGACACGGCCCAGACUCCUACGGGAGGCAGCAGUAGGGAAUCUUCCGCAAUGGACGAAAGUCUGACGGAGCAACGCCGCGUGAGUGAUGAAGGCUUUCGGGUCGUAAAACUCUGUUGUUAGGGAAGAACAAGUGCUAGUUGAAUAAGCUGGCACCUUGACGGUACCUAACCAGAAAGCCACGGCUAACUACGUGCCAGCAGCCGCGGUAAUACGUAGGUGGCAAGCGUUAUCCGGAAUUAUUGGGCGUAAAGCGCGCGCAGGUGGUUUCUUAAGUCUGAUGUGAAAGCCCACGGCUCAACCGUGGAGGGUCAUUGGAAACUGGGAGACUUGAGUGCAGAAGAGGAAAGUGGAAUUCCAUGUGUAGCGGUGAAAUGCGUAGAGAUAUGGAGGAACACCAGUGGCGAAGGCGACUUUCUGGUCUGAA